GGGGGGGGGGGGGGGGGGGGGGGGGGGGGGGGGGGGGGGGGGGGGGGGGGGGGGGGGGGGGGGGGGGGGGGGGGGGGGGGGGGGGGGGGGGGGGGGGGGGGGGGGGGGGGGCUCGGCCGGCCCGGGGGGUGUGAGGAUCGCUGCUGUGGGUGGGGAUCGCACGCUGCGGCUCCGUGAGGGCCGCGCAGGUAACGCUGCUGCGGGGGGGCUCGGCAUCCACCGCCAUCCCUCCGGUUUUGUGGUGCUACAGCCAUCAAAAUCAACGAUUAGGUCCCUUUUAAUGAUUUUUUGGUGUACUAGACCCUUUCUGUCUAAUUAAAAAUUACACCCACAGCACUGGAGCUUUUGCGAUUUCAGUUUAAAAUUGCCCUGUUGGUAGAUGAAGUUUUGCAAGCUGCAUUACACUACUUUAAAUUUACAUCGCUCUGUAUUUUCUAAUUAAGAAUUAUUUAGAAGGAUUGCUGACUGCUAAUACCUGUCUGAUACAAAUAUUUCAGUGAUUCAUAUCAGCAUAAAUGCAGGUGAAAAUACAAGCAGAGUUGGUCAUGAGGGUCUGGUUAUUCCUUGUUUUUCCCUGUAAAAACCUACUUUAUACUGCUGAAGAGUAUUCUAGUAACACUUCUCUUGCUUUUACUCCCACAGCAGGAAGAUGUCUUGAAGUAAAAGGGAGAGCCUGCAGGUCUCUGCUGGUUGUUGAUGUCCAGCCCCUGAUGUGAGAGCUCUUCACAAGUCCUGUGCAGGGCACUGAGAGCAGGAGAAUCUGCUGGGUGGUGCUGCUGGAAACAUCUCUGAGGCACAAGGACUCCAACAAAACACCUGAGCUUGAGGAUUUUGUGUAGACACGACAUUUUCCUGCCUGUUACAGAGUGCUAACAGUUAAAAGUGUUUCAUUAUGUGUACAAUAAAACAAUUAUUUUUAAAGCCACUGUGUUUUGUCCUUUUACUGCAUUAAAGAAUGACUUUUGCAUUGUUGCAUUGCAACACGUUUUUAAUAAACACAUUGGGCACUCUGUACAAUUUGCUGUAAAAUCGAGAAGAUGUACCCAGAUUGCAGAGUAUUUACUGCAGAUACUGCCUGCAGGGUUUAGUGUGGUAAUUAGGGUUUAAACAAGACACCAAGAGUGUAAUUAGUGCAGAGAUCAGCCCUCAAAUACUCUGACAGCCAGAGCAGCAAAUGCAGCUGCAUCUGUAGCUUGUUUGCAGGUUUGCUAUUUGUCAUUUUGAUCUCAAACUCGAAUUUAAAGUCUGCUGCAGAGGCAAAGUUCAGGAGUUAGGGGGAAACUUGGAGGUGCUUAAAUGGCUUAAACCCCAAUAUUUGAGGCCAAAACUCCCACUAUCAUUUUUAAUUUCAAUUUUCUGACUGAAAGGUGCUGUGAGCUGGUGCCGCUUGAGGGGCAUCAUAGGGCAGUGUCCAAAAUCACAGGUGGCUGUGCUCUCUGAGCUAUAAAUUGCAUGAAAUGUAGAAUUAAAGGAAUUUCUCUUAAAGUUGGUAUUCUGAAAAACAGGCUUAGUGUUUUUCAGGGAAGCCUGGUUCUAAAAUGUGCAGGUAAAUUAAUCUGGAUUUCUUUUUUCAGGAAUCAUUACUGUAAUACAUCCAGGACUUAAAAACAUUCAUCCUGGGCAAUGGAGUAGGUAAAACAUGUUUGGAAUUAAUUAGUUGCUCUUUGAAAGGAUUUUAGCAGUAUGAAGAACAG
ensembl:lncRNA